rfam:Lactobacillus agilis DSM 20509 NODE_292, whole genome shotgun sequence.
UAAUCCUUUAAAAUUAGUCCCGUGAGGCUAAGAAGGCAGAGUCUUAUAUGAGUACGGAAAUACAAGGCAUACGUCUAGGCACCUUAGUCACACACUGAUAUUGUUGGCUAAGGUGCUUUUUUU